rnacentral:rRNA from 1 species
UACGUAGGUGGCAAGCGUUACUCGGAAUCACUAGGCGUAAAGCGCAGGUAGGAGGUUUGAUAAGUCUGUUGUGAAAGCUCCCGGCUUAACUGGGAGAGGCCAACGGAAACUGUCAGGCUUGAGUGCGGUAGAGGUAGCUGGAAUUCCCGGUGUAGCGGUGAAAUGCGUAGAUAUCGGGAGGAAUACCUAUGGCGAAAAGCAGGCUACUGGACCGUCACUGACUCUGAUCUGCGAAAGCUAGAGGAGCAAACAGG